GCGCGUUUGGUCUAGUGGUAUGAUUCUCGCUGUAUGUAUACACUCGAAUCAGUCCUUAUAUCGAGCAACAACUAACAACCGCACAGUAGGGCUUACUCUAAGCAUAAAUGCGAGAGGCCCCAGGUUCGAACCCUGGAACGCGCC